UACGUAGGGUGCGAGCGUUAUCCGGAUUCACUGGGUUUAAAGGGAGCGUAGGUGGGCAGGUAAGUCAGUGGUGAAAUUCCCGAGCUUAACUUGGGAACUGCCAUUGAUACUAUCAGUCUUGAAUACCGUGGAGGUUAGCGGAAUAUGUCAUGUAGCGGUGAAAUGCUUAGAUAUGACAUAGAACACCAAUUGCGAAGGCAGCUGGCUACACGAAUAUUGACACUGAGGCACGAAAGCGUGGGGAUCAAACAGG
rnacentral:rRNA from 1 species